rnacentral:rRNA from 1 species
AACGAACGCUGGCGGCGUGGAUAAGGCAUGCAAGUCGUACGAGUUUCAUCUGGGUAACUGGAGGAAAAAAGUGGCGAAAGGGGCAGUAAGGCAUGGAUAAUCUACCCUGAUGACCGGGAUAGCUGUCCCAACGGGCAGGUAAUACCGGAUGAGCUGGUGGGGCCGCAUGGUUCUGCCAGGAAAGGCGCAAGCCGUGUCGGGUGGAAUCCAUGUGGUAUUAGCUAGUUGGUGAGGUAAAGGCUCACCAAGGCGAAGAGGUCUAGCGGGUGAGAGAGAACGACACGCGCCAUUGGCUCUGAGGCGCUGCCCAGGCUCCGAAGGGGGGCUGAAGUCGGGGAUCUUCGGCAAUGGGCGAAAGCCUGGCGGAGCGACGCCGCGUGUGCUAUGAAUGCGAUUAGGUUGUAAAGCACUGUCGAGGGGGAACAAGCCACAAGGUGACGUGAUCCCUGGAGGAAGCACGGGCUAAGUUCGUG